UUACAAAAACAUCUUCUGAAUUUAACAUCUCAGGUAGGGCCUGCUCACUGAUUUUAAGAGCCGCAGUAUCCUAACUGUGCUAAGGUAGCAUAAUCAUUAGCUAUUUAAUUUGUAACUAGAAUGAACGGCCUGACAAAAGAAUAACUUUAUUAUUUUUUUUGUUAAAUUAAUCUAAGAAUAAAAAAGUUCUUAUAAAUUAGAAAGACGAUAAGACCCUAAAACCUUAUAUAUAAAUAUUUACUGGGGCGGUAGUUUAUUCUCCAUAAGUUAAAAUAACACAAUGAGUGAUAUUAUCUAUUUAAUUAAUUCAAAAAGGUACUUUAGGGAUAACAGCAUAAUUUUUAUUUAGAGUUCUUAUCGACAUAAAAGAUUAUGACCUCGAUGUUGAAUUGAUUUAACU
rnacentral:rRNA from 1 species